rnacentral:rRNA from 1 species
CAGUCGUACCUUCGGGUAAUCAGCCUUUCGGGUGCGAUUCUGUGGAGUUUGAGGAGCUUAACACCUUCAUGCUUUUGCAUAUUCGUGCUCUUGGGUGUACUUGCCCGUGUGGUUGGUUAACAUCAAUUUUGGUCGUCAUAAAAUGACUGGAGGAAUGUAGCUUUGGUCUCGUAUCGAAGUGUUAUAGACUCUGGUAGAUGUGACGAUUGGGGAUU